rnacentral:rRNA from 1 species
UACGGGGGGGGCAAGCGUUGUUCGGAAUUACGGGGCGUAAAGGGCUCGUAGGCGGCCAACUAAGUCAUACGUGAAAUCCCUCAGCUUAACUGGGGAACUGCGUGUGAUACUGGAUGGCUUGGAUUUGGGAGAGGGAUGCGGAAUUCCAGGUGUAGCGGUGAAAUGCGUAGAUAUCUGGAGGAACACCGGUGGCGAAGGCGGCAUCCUGGACCAAUAUUGACGCUGAGGAGCGAAAGCCAGGGGAGCAAACGGG